rnacentral:rRNA from 1 species
GAGUUAAUAACCGCAUAAGAUUGUAGUAUCGCAUGAUAUAGCAAUUAAAGGAGCAAUCCGCUAUAAGAUGGACCCGCGUCGCAUUAGCUAGUUGGUGAGGUAAUGGCUCACCAAGGCGACGAUGCGUAGCCGACCUGAGAGGGUGAUCGACCACAUUGGGACUGAGACACGGCCCAGACUCCUACGGGAGGCAGCAUG